AACAAUUUUAAAAUUUUGGUACACGAAAGUAAGUGAACGAGAUUUUUUAAUGAAAAUUAAUUAAAUAAAUAACGCAUAAAAAAUUGCAACUAAAUGCGCCGAAGAAAGAAAAUAUUUUUCAAACCGUUUGUGAAAAUUUUUCAAAAUCUCCGUCAAAAUGGAGAAAACUAAGCCUAACAAAAAUAAAGUGCACUGUGCAGCAAAAGUGAGGAAAACUUCUGACAGAAAUAGUGUGGAAAUUGAAAAAAUAUUCACAAAAUAAAGAAAAUAUAUACAAAUCUUCAAUAAUUUUAAUACAAAAACUUAAUUCAAAAGCAAUAGUGUAAAAAUUUUGUGCUUUAAUACAAAAACAAAUAAAUUAAAAAUCUACACGCAAUUACACGUAAGGAAAGAAAAUACCUUACAUUCUUUUAAAAAGUAAAACGUGCAGUUGUCGCUCUCCAAAGUACGGAAAAUUUUCAGAAAAUUUUGUUUGCAAUAAAAUUAUAAAGUUUAUUCAACCAAAUAAACCACUGUAUACACCAGCGAAUGUAAAUACAAUUGGAUUGUAGGGAUUAUCAGUGUAAUUAACGAGCAUAAAUAAGUGUUUAUACAACUUUAUCAGUUGGUGAGACAUUUUUCCGUGAUUGGAUUACUCUCCGAGAAGUGACAGAAUAAAAAUCAAAGAAAACAUAAUAAAAAAUCCCAAUAUCGCGUCAAUUGGAAGUGAUUUAUUAGUGUGUAAAUUGUAAAUACAAGUAUAUAGUACAUAUAUAUGUACAUACAUAAAUAUACAUAUAUACAAAAAAUAUAAAUAAGAAAAUUAAAUAAAAAAUAAUUUAAGAAAAAAUUGUAAAUUGCAACGCCACGAUACCCAAUUGUGUUCAAAUCUCGCACUAAAACAAAAAGUAUUUAUAAUUAAAAGUGUUUCUAAAAUAUAUAUGUAUUUACAUAAGCAAUUAAUAUUAAAGCAUAUAAAAAAUAAAAAAUAGUGUUAAAAAGUGUAUAAAUUAAAGUUAAAACAAAAAUUAAAUUUACAACGACGACAAAAUAAAAAUGAAUUAAUGAAGAGAGUGUCAAUACGAAUAUGCCGAGAAGACCCGAAAGCUGCAUCUUGAAAACGAUAAAAAACGAAGUUAAACGUUAAAGGAAAUUUGCAUAAAAUCAACGUAAAAUCAAUUAAAUGCAAAAAAUUGUCACUAAUUAGUAAAAAAUAACACAUGAAGUGUAUAAAUGCAAUAACAAGUGUAUAGAAAUUAUAAAAUGAGCUCAUAAAGAGCGUGAGCGUUUCGUGCAAAGCCGCAAGUGUGCUGAGUUUGAGAGCGAAUUAAGCACAGUUCUUUGCUUAUCAAAUAUUUUUACGAUAUAACGAAAAUUUUAAGAUAUUAACAGCAAAGAAUUUCGUUUUAUUCGUCAUAAUUAUUACAACAACAACAAGCAGUGAUAAAAGUGUUUCAACCAAAAUAAAUAUAUAUCCAUAUAAAAUAUAAAAAUAUGGCAUUUAAGUGCAAGUGUGUGUGUGUGUGUUGCAGUGCUGUUUCUUUGUUCAAUCAUCAAUUUCGAUGAGUUGCUCGCGUAAAAAUCUUAAUUAAACACAAAGCAAAUUUAAUUCAACGAAAAAUGAUGAAUUCUACUGAAGAUGCUGUUUGCGGAUGAACAAACGAGGUAAGUGACAAAUCAUUUUUGGUGAUAUUAAGUGAAAUACUGACGAAAAACAGUUGUGCGCACGAAAACUGCUGCCAAGCUGAGUAAGUUGUAAU
rnacentral:lncRNA from 1 species